rnacentral:lncRNA from 1 species
UUUUUUUUUUUUUGGUCGAAACGGUAGGAUUUUGGCAAAAUAUGGUGUUAAGUGCUACAUUUUUCUUAUAUUUUGUAUUUGGUGUUAUUUACAAGACUUUUGAAAUUGAAAGGAGUUUAAAAGGAGAAUUUUCAGAAAACUACUGAAGUUCUAGCAUAGGUACGCUUGCUUACUCGUAAAAUCCAAUGAUAGCUGGAAAAAGGAAUCUUUGUUGACAGCCUCUUGUUGUAGAUAAUAUGACAAAAUUUUAUUACAUAUAUUUUAUGAGGUCAUGUGAAAAGUAAAAUUGUUUUCAUAGUAUUUUUAAAAUGUAUAAAACACAGAAGAUUUUUUAAAUAAUAUACACAAUCGUGUAUUAUACAGGUAUAUUAUGAUUUCUUACUACUAAGUUUCAAUCAUUAAUAAGAAAAUGUUAAUAUUAUUUCAAUUAAACUUCCUGACACUACUUUGAUAUAAAAUUUUUAAAUAAAAUAAUAAAUUUUUGCCACAAACUAGUAAGUUUUAAUCAUUACGAUAAUUUAUUUCUAUCUAGGUGGAUGGGUUCAAUAAGUAAUCAAAUUGUUUCUAAAAAUAUGACAAUGUGUAACAUCACAUAAAAACUGUUUGUUACCAUAUCCAUAGUUACUAAAGCAUUUUCCAAUUGGAAAAUGGCUACAUCUCUCUUUAAUGAUUUGAUAACAUUAUAUUUGAACAUGUGGACUUUCUAAAUUAAAAGAAAAGCUUUAAUACGGAUCCCGGCUUUAAGAAACGGAGAGAGACCACUCAAAUUGGUUUUGUGUCUCUUCCCAUGAGCUCAUACAACAUUUGUUUUAUUCAAGGGCGUUUGGUAAAUGGUUUCAUAUUGAGAAAUGAGAAAAUUCUAAGGUUAUGAUGAAUUCUAAAAUCAUUCUACAAAAAAGUUGCUUGUGAUGUACGCUACUGGGCAAAGGGUGUUCGCAUUUGCAAAAUGAAGUUUGUCAUCUUUUGUAUCAAAAAUCAGCAACCACAAAUGGCAAACAAUGUCCUUUUUGCUGAAAUAUAAUCAGAACUCAAUAAAUUUAGCUAUACCUUGCAUUUGCAAAAUGGAAAUUUGACGAGCUCGCAUUUUACAAAUGCGAACAUCACUUCACAGAAUCCUAUAUUCAAAAAGCCUCAUUUGUCAAAAAAAUAAAUAAAUAAUAUUAAAUUUCAUCAUAAAAUUAAAAAGGGAUAAUUGCAGAAACCUCCCCUGAAGUUUCUGACAUUUGCACUGGCCUCCCCUGUAGUUUAGAAAAUUACACUGACCUCCCCUAAGGUUACUAAUCCUUUGCAAAUUUAGUCCAAACGAUUAAAAUAUUGUUUUAGAGAGUGAAAUUAGAAUUUUUUACUAGAUUUGCCCUUUGUGUUACAUGUCUAAUGAAUAACAAAGUACUAUAAAUCAAUUAACAAUUAAUGAACUUUAAAGAGUAUAAUUUAUGGGCAAACACGCAUUACUCAUUUAAAGUAUCGGCUCUUUACGGGUAUUUUACUUUCAAACAUUUAAUUUAUGAUAAAUAUAUCAAUAUUUGUAAGUAAAAUUCAAAAAGUGUUACAGUAAUAUUUUUGCAAAAAGGAAAUCGGUAGGUUAUUUAUUUAAUAUAAAUUAAAUAUAAAAAAAAGGACAUGGCCCAUAAAGUAUUAAUUCUUUAUGGCUUUCAUCUAUUACAUGAGUAAAGUAUUCGCUCUUUAUGUGCAUUUUAUUCUGAAUCAUUUAAUUUAUGUUAAAUACAUAAAUGUUUGCAACUAAAAUUAAAAAAGUGUUAUAUUAAUAUUUUUAUGGAAGAAAAAUUGGUAGAUUUUGUAUUUAACAAAAAUUAAAUAUUUGAAAGUAAAUACAAAUUUGUAUUUGAGCGUAAAUAUUUAUAUUAAAUUAAAUGUUUGAAAGUAAAAUACCCGUAAAGAGUCGGUACUUUAAAUAGUUACCGGCUCUUUAUGAGCAAACACGCAUUAUUCAUUUAAAGCGCCGGCUUUUUACGAGUGUUUUACUUUCAAACAUUUAAUUUAUGAUAAAUAUAUCAAUGUUUGUAAGUAAAAUUUAAAAAGUGUUACAGUAAUAUUCUUGCAAAAAGGAAAUUGGUAGGAUAUUUAUUUAAUAUAAAUUAAAUAUUGUGUUAAAAAAAAAAGAAAUGGCCCAUAAAGUAUUAAAUCUUUAUGACUUUCAUCCAUUACAUGAGUAAAGUAUUGGUUCUUUAUGGGCAUUUUAUUCUAAAUCAUUUAAUUUAUGUUAAAUACAUAAAUGUUUGUAACUAAAAUUAAAAAAGUGUUAUAUUAAUAUUUUUACGGAAGAGAAAUUGGUAGUUUUUGUAUUUAACAAAAAUUAAAUAUUUGAAAGUAAAUAUAAAUCUGUAUUUGAGCGUAAAUAUUUGUAUUAAAUUAAAUAUUUAAAAGUAAAAUAUCCAUAAAAAAUUGGUACUUAAAUAGGUAAUGCGUAUUUGCCUAUAAACUAUAUUCCUUAAAGUUUAUUAAUUAUUAAUUGAUUUGUAGUACUUUGUUAUUCAUUGAACAUGUAUUACAAAGGACAAAUUUGGUACAAAAUUCUAAUUUCACUCCCUAAAAUAAUAUUUUAAUCGUUUGGACUGAAUUUGCAAAGGAUUAGUAACCUCAGGGGAGGUCAGUGUAAUUUUUCAAACUACAGUAGAGGUAAGUGCAAAUGUCGGAAACCUCAAGGUAGGUUUCUGCAAUUAUCCCAAUUAAAAAUUUCUCGUGAUAUAUGUCCUACAUCACAUCACUUGACUGAUUACUGGAAAGGCUGUCCUACAACUGUUUUUCUGUGGCAGGAAUUUUCAUUUGUUGAUGAAUAUUCCGAUUAGUAUUUGUUGGCACCUUUCUCCUUUUCGCCACAUUCAAGUUAUUAUUGAGGUUAUGAACCUGACAAUCAGAUAUGAUCAUUGCAAUGCUUGUAUCCUGUCAUAGUUGAUGAAAUUUUCAUUUGCGUCAAUCGAUGCUUUCCUACCAUACACCUAUUCUUACUCCUACUCUAAUAUAUGCUAAAGGAGAGGGUCCAACUAAAUCUACUGAGAAAUUGACGAAAACUGAACCACUAGCAUCAGACUAAUGCAUCAUGCCCUCAUAUAAAUUUAAACAAUUUAAAGUGACAAAUCACAUAUAAUGACAAGUGAUGGAAGGCAACGUUUAAAUUCUUGACCUCCCAUUCCACUUGAGAUUCAACAAUUCAAAUGACUGUUGGUUAUUUAGUAUUUGUUUGCACCUUUGUCCUUUUUGUCUCAUUCAAGUUAUUAUUGGGGUUAUGAACCUGACAAUCAGACGUUACCAUUGCAAUGCUUGUAUUCUGAAAUAGUUGAUGAAAUUAUUGACAUCCUGGGGUGGUGAUGCUAAUUUUUGUUGUGUUCUUAGAGAGGAGGUACUAGGUAGAUUUUUUUUUUUUUUGGGGUGCUUGAAUGGAACUGUGGCCAUAUGCCAAAGUGGGCACUAAGUAGUUAUAUCCCACUAAGUAGUUGUAAAUCCUACUUUACUUUCUUUUGAAGUAAGAGGGAAGAUGCACAUGGAUAUGCCUGGAUUAUGACUAAAUUGAAUAGCCAGGAAAUGGUGGAUGCCAUAUCUGCAGUAAUAAGUUUCCAGGAAGUUCCAACUGCCAACCACAGAAGCAAACCUGUAGCGCUCCAACCAGGAUAGGAUUUGCUUGUCUCAGUCUAUUUUGUUAGAAGUACUCGUUAAGAUUUUGAGUGAUGGCCAAAGCUCGCCAACCGUGGGUGUGCUUCCAGUGUACAUUGGAGAUAUGCACCAAUUUACAAAAUGGUUAGUAAAUUAGCUCAGGACACCAAAAGAAUUCCUAAUUGAACUGCUACUCAAAAGGGAGGUCAAUGAGCUAUUUGAUUCCCAUUUUCACCAUUGUUCACUAAAGAAGAUCAACAAGCUAUAUGGACGAGAGGUCCUCAUAUAUAGUCUUGAUACCUGGCCUUUCAGAUACAGAGCGUAUACAACGUAAAGCUAUCCCGAGGACCUCCUUCGUUCCUUUCUCGGCCGCAGGAGUCCCCAUCUCAGGCAUUAAUGCAGCAUCAAAACAAUCAGAUCCAUGACCU